CCCAGAGUUCAUAAUUGCUUAGGUUUUUGCACAUGUUUUAACAUGCCUUUCCGUGCGAGCUUCCGCAUGGUCACACCUGUCAGUUUCUCAGCCUUCUUUUCUCCCUGGAGAAGGUGCUCUGGAGCCCCCAAACGUGUGCCCCGCAUAAGGCUGCCCUUCCGGCUGCCGCGGGGCUCCCGUCCGGGACUUUCCUCUGCCUCCCCCUGUGAUGGAGCUCAUGCUUCUGUAUCUCGAAGCUUCAUCUUUCUGCUCACCACCCGGUCUCAGUGGAGCACGUUCUCUGUAACAUCCUGAGACGCCUUAUUCUGCUCUCGUGUUCCGUUCAGGAUCUGCUUGAAUAUGGAAUCUUGGUUUGGGAAUUAUUUUUACAUAGAAUUUUGUGGGCAUUUUCCCACUCAGUUCUGGUUUCCACGCUGCCGUUGAGAAGUCUGACGCCAUUCAGAGUUUUGAUCCUAUUUUAUGACCUGAUUUUCUUCUCUCUGGAUGCUUUCUUCCUUGGUGUUCUGAAAUGUCACAAAAGUAGGCCUUUGUUCUUUUACUGUGAGGAUAGUUGGUGUGGCCUUCAAUCUGAGGACUCACGGCCUUCAGCUCUGGGAAAGAUUUUGGUAUUAUUUCUUUGAUAAUUUCAUUCUCGUGAUUUUCUCUGUGCUGUCUUUCUGAAACUCCUAUUUGUCAAAUAUUGGGCCUCCUGGUCUCAUCAUCUAACUCUUUAAUUAGAAAAAAUCUCUUCUUGCACAUUUCUUUGAAUUUUUGUACUGCUUUCUGGGAAACUUUAUUUUCCAACGCUUUUAUCUUAAAUUUUUAUUGUUCUAUUUUUAACUUUCAGGCAUUCGUUUUCUCUAAUUGUUUCACGGAUGCAAUAUCUUUUCUCAUCUCUGAAGAUACUGAUGAUGUGGUCUCUGAAGUUCUCUUCUCUUUGCAAAGCUUGUACUUGGACUAGUUAUCUGGUACCAUGUAACAAAUUACCCCCAAGCGCAGCAGCUUAAAACAGCAAAUGUUUUUUGCCUCGAGUUUCUGUGGGCCAGGAAUCUGGUAGGGCCUGUCUGGGUGGGGACCUCUCACGAAUUUGCAGUCAGUGUGUCAGCCAGGGCUGGAGUCAUUUAAGCCGUGCCUGGGGAUGCAGGGUCUGCCUCCAGGCUCAGUCACGUCGAUGGCUGCAGGACUGGGUCCCUCACCAUAUGGGCCUCUCUGUAUGGCUACUUGACGUGGCACUUGGCUUUCCCCAAAGUGAGCAAUGGGAAGGAGAGAACCAGGAUGGAAGCUGCAGUGUUUUUUGGAACCUAAUCUCAAAAGUAACUAUCAUCUCUUCUGUCAUAUUCUGUUGGUCUCGCAGACCAACCGUGGUGCAAUGGGGGAGGGGUCGGCACACGCGCAUGAGUCGCGGGAGGCCACCAACUCAGAGAAGGCUGGCUACCACCGCACUUUUCUGAAUUUUCCCCUGUUUGCUGUUUUGGUCUCUGUUGUCCAUGUUGGAGGUCUUUCUCAAAUGUCGGGUGCUCUCUGUCCUUUCAUAUUUAAGCGUGAAACACACAAGCUGUCUGGAGGCUGUGUGGACCUGCCUACGGGUGGGUCGGGGUGGUUUGAGCAGGAGGAUUUUAAGGGCCAGGACUGGAAGUGGCUCGUGUCACUUCUGCCCACAACCCAUUGGCCACAUGGCUCCAGCCUACUGCGAGGGAGGCCGGGAAACCAUGGGGGCGCACGCAAGCUCGGGGAGCAGCCCAGACCCUGUGGAAGCCACAUCGGCGCCUCUGGGGGAGCCCUCGAGCCCCAGAAUCAGGAGAAGCAGCCAGCGCCCUCCCAGCUCCAGCCUGGCGGGUGGACGGGUCCCAUGGUGAGGGCGUGGAGGGGUGCCCGCAGUUUGUGGGGCUCGCUGGGCAUUUGAAAUGCACAGUCUCUGUAAGAAACUCUGAGGUGUGGCUACGCCUGUCCCCAUUUUGCUGCUCAGAAGUUUGGAGAGGUCGGUAACCAGAAAGCAGAAUGCAAAGCCAGGCCGCCCCCUUGCACACCUCCCCCGCUGGAUUCUUGUGUGAACUGUCUCGGGUGGACAAGGGACGUUUGUGAGUCUUGACUGCCGGCCUGGGCUACCACCAGCAAGGCCUCCAUCUCUGCACAUGAUCCUCACUCCAGCCUGUCCAGUGGGCACGGUUCCUGGGUCCCUCUCGGCCAUGAGAAGAGCUCACCUCAGACGUCCCUGACGACACCCAGGGGUCCAUCCAGUUAGCAUCACCCUGCCCUGCGACGGCCUGUGUGCUGACUCUAGAGUCGGUUUCUCCUGCGGGACGAGCUCUGCCAUCGGCCGCCGCACCCCUCGUGGUUGGCGCAGACCUGCUGCAUAGACACGUGAACGCAGGGGCGGGUGACGCGUGAGUGAUGCUUGUGUGAGUGUGACGACUGAGUGGCUUGCCCGGUCACCAGUCCCUCAGCAGUGGCGCCAGGAUGCCUGGGGAGCAGGGUGGGGCCCCCUCCGACAGGUGGGUCUGCCCCUUGGGGCGGUGUGGUUGGCUCACUGCUCUGCACGGGUCGGGAGGAGGGUCCUAGCUCAGAUGCUGUGUGAGGAGUCCCCUAGGGGUGGGGCGCCUGGCGGCCCGGGCAGCCUGUGAAGACAGGAACUCGAGGGUGGAGGCGCCCUGUCCCCACUGAGAAUGCAGACGGCUGUACCCGACUCAGCCCCCAGCCCCAGGUGGGCUGGAGGACCCCAUGAGUGUGGGUCAUCUGGGGGCAGCCUGGGGUGUAGACCCUUCAGCUGUGGGAAACCUAGGCGUGGCCCUGGGGGGCUUGUGGGGAGACCUCUGGGCGGGCUCUGUCUUUGGGGCUGGAGGGAAGUAAUGGAAGAGGUUGUGGGAUAUUGUAAUAUUGUGUUAAUAAUGUGCAUUCUGACUGUGGCUCAGGGAGAACCUGUUUCAUACUGAACACUAUUUUGGGGUGGGUGGGUUCUUUUCUUCUUCUUUUUUUUUUUGGUGAGGAAGAUUUGCCCUGAGUUAACAUCUGUGACAGUCUUCCUCUAUUUUGCGUGUAGGACACCACCACAGUACGACUUGAUGAGGUCCAUGCCCGAGAUCCAAUCCUGAGAACCCCGGGCUGCCAAAGCGGAACAUGCUGGACUUAACCAUUACGCCACGGGCUGGCCCACUGGGCGGGUUCUGAGUUAUGAUAAUUUGAGUGGCAUGUACUCCCCCUUCCUUCCGCGGCUCCGAGUGGGCUGCCCGUUGCCCUCGCCAUUGCCCUCUCCUUUGGGUCAGCCCCUGGCUCCUCCCUCCUGAGUGCACCAGAAGAGGUGGGCCCACCGCUGAGUACGGGCUUCCGGGCCGUUCUGCAGGUUCGGGGAGGGGUCUGCACGGCUCCGACAGUGGAGCAGUGCGCGGGGCGUGCAGAUCUCCCUCAGUGCUCCUUUUCCGAUUGUCACGUGUGCGGGGGUGGGGGCCAGGUGGUCCAGCAUGGGGCGGAACAGAGGAAGCCACCACGCAGCCUGUCUUUCCUUCAACAGCUUUAUUGAGAUACAAUCCACACACCACACGGUUCACACGUCUCAAGUGUGCGAUGCAGUGGCUUUUAGUACAUUCACGGAGUUGUGCAGCUACCACCACAGGAGGGCCUGGACCAUUCCAUCACCACCAGGAGAAACCCGUGCCCUGUCGCUGUCACUCCCCAUCCUCCCCUCCCCCAGCCCCUGGCCACCGCUGAUCUACUUUCUGCCUCUGGCUUUGCCUGUUCCAGACAUUUCCCGUAAAUGGAAGUGGCCCCUAUCUCGCCUCAAUUUCCUGAAAAACAGUUGGGGGUUGUCUCUGCUCCUCUCUUGGCCCCGCUAGUCCUCCCCUGGGAGGCCUCCACUCAGGACCAUCUGGGGAGGAGGGGCCGGCAGGAGUUGGGGGGCAGGGUGGCCCAGGCGAAUGGUGAGCAGCGCGGAUGGUUGAGGAGCAGACUGAGGUCGGGGUGGGUGAGCUCUUGGAGCCUCCCUGGCCUGGCCGGUGCCGGUCUGGGGGCCCACUUCAGCUGGAGGAGGCAGGGCCGGUGCUGGUGGUGCUUUGCGGUCUGUGCCCCUUUGCUGCCCUUGCGGGCCGUCUGCACGACCCGGGGCUCCUGAGGCUGCGGGAGGUGGCUGGCUGCUGACUCUGGGCCGAGACUUGCUGGCAUCUGCGAGCGACAGCGUAGGGAGAGGCGGCUGUGUUUAGAAAUAAUCACUCCGUCUUGCACAGACGCAUUGAGGUGUCCUCCCCUGCAGUUGCAGGAAGUAGCUCGAGGCGUUGCCGAUGGAGCAGCCGUGACUUUGCUGCCGGCUUGUCCUGCUCCCUUGCAGACGUGGGGCUGCGGUGGCGCGUUUGAGGUCCGCCCCUGCCGCUGGAGUCAGAGCUGCGCCCUCUCUCUUACUGAGUGCUGGUCCACGUAUGACGGACGGGUGACGGAGUGUUUAUCCAGCUUCCUGCUGAGGGACACCUGGUUGUCCCCAGUUUUUGGCGAAUGUGAGGGAAGCUGCUAGGAACGUCCCGGUAACACACGUCCUGUCUUUUUCUCUGGGGAGGUGGGGGCUGCCAGAGGGUUCUGAGCAGAGGAGGGACGUGGUCCGCCUUGGGCUAGCCUCUGACUGCCGGGCUGAGACAGGACUCAGGGCCGGGGUGCAGGCUGGGCCGGGCCGCAGUCCUGUGAUGGAGCCUGCAGCACAGUCCACAGGUGGGCCUCGGGGCUUCUCGCUCAGCUCAGAGAUAGGCUGCCCGAGAGGGGUCCAGGAAAAGCCGUUUCCUCUCAUCUGUAGAACGGGAGGAGCCCUCAUUUAUUCCCAGCACGUGGUGCAUCCCCUCUCCUUCCACGUCACAGCCCCGGUCCCUGCAGGGCCCUCGUUUGUCUCAGGUUGCCUCCAGAGCGGGCAGCGGAGCAGAGGGCCCCGUGCGCAGGUGUUAUGCUCAUCCCUGCAAGGUGAUGCCUGUCUGCUCUGGUCUGAGGGUUUGUCUCCCCCCAGAUUCAUAUGCUAAUUCCUAACCCCCAAGGUGAUGUGUAUGAGGCGGGACCUUUGGGGGGUGAUUAGGUCAAGAGGGUGGAGCCUCGUGAAUGGGAUUAGUGCUCUUAUUAAAGGGACCCCGGAGAGCUCCCUUGCCCCUUCUGCCCUGUGAGGAGGCACAGCAAGAAGAUGCCGUCUAUGCACCAGGAAGCAGGUCCUCACCAGACACCGAAUCUGCCGGGGCCUGGAUCUCAGCCUCCAGCCUCCAGAACUGUCAGCAAUAAAUGUCCGUCGUUUAUAGGUCACCCUGUCUACGGUGUGCAAGCAGACUGAGACAGCACCGUUACGGAGUAACUGCAGGCUUCACAUAAGAGAUGAAGCGAGAAGGCGUCCAGGCUUCCCUUCGGACCCCUACCUCCCGAGACAGAACUGAGGCCCCGUGUGCUUGGAGGGAAAGGAUGCUCCGGGCUGGCUGGGCUCCCUGGUGGACCCAGAGCACAGGCUGUGGUCUCCGCUUGGAGAUGGUUGUGCUGCCGGAAGAAGCAGCUGGUCUUUUGUUGGAGAAGAAACAUGGGGAUGAUGAGCACAGGUGGCCAACGUCGUCAUGGAGGGACUCGGUCUCUCUCCGCAGCAUCCAGAGCAGAGGAAGGAGCUCGGGGUAGAAGGCCGGUCCUGGUCCUGAAGCCACCCUGUUCCUGAGGGUCCUUCAUCGCUGCUCGUGUCCUUGCAGGAGGACAUGGUGCUUGGGCCCUACAACGCCCGGAGGAGCUGCCGGGAUGCCGAGCGCCUUGCAAGGGAACCGGAGCCAGAGUGAUGGGCGUCCUGGGGGCUCCUGGUGUGGAAAGGGCCUCUGUCGGCCGCCUGCUGGCAGCUGCUUUGUCUCCCUCCACUGGUUCUCUGCUCUGACUCCAUUUCUAAGGCUUUUCUUAAAUCAGCCCCUGGCAGGUGAGAUGGCUUGGAGUUUUAUGAGAUUUUACACUCCCCAGAGGUGAAUAAUAGGGACUUUUCAUCACUGAGUUUCCUGACAACACCUUCCAUUGAACCAUCAAUUUCCGAACAACACCUGGGAUAUGCAAACUCUGUUUUCAAGCACGUCCUGGGGCUGGGAUACGUGACAAGAGGUGGAGGGCGAGUUUCCUGAGAAAAAAAUCAGCCGUGCGUUUUGGGUACAUAAAAGACAGGUUGAGGUUUCUUUUCAUGGGAAGGAGGUGGGGGGACUGAGGGGGGAGAUAUUGAAACCCACCAGCCGUGAAAGAGUGGAGAGAGGAGAGAGCAGGAGAUGAAGAGGAGAAAGUGAAGUGAGAGGGAGAACGAGCGAGAGAGCGAGCGGGAGACGGAGACGACCGGCUAAUCAAAGAGGCAGGUACAGGAGGUGAAAUGCUUUCACAGGAGGCGCAGGAGGGUCUGUCUCAAUGGAGGAUGGCAAGUGGUUGUGGAUGCUGUGUGAGUCUCCGACAACAUGCGUCACACUGCUGCACACAAACCGUUCACGUCUGUGCUCACUGGACGUCGGUUCCGGGCCCAAGUUGGGGCCUCUUGCCACCCCCUCUACCUGGCCCCAUCUGCCUACCAGGUGGGGACCCCUCCCCCGUUAGGCGAGGCUUUGUCACGAGCGGCCAGUUCCAGCAGGGGCGGCCACCCCUCCUCCCCUCACCCCUGCCCAGGUGGCUGCUGAGUCCAGGCAGCAAGCGCUUAAUUGAGAGACAUACGAACUGGAGGAUGUCAGGAGGGUGGGAAAGCAAGAUGCCCAGGGCCUGGGCCCCAGGAAGUAAAGGAAGCAGAGAGAAGAGCGGGAUGAGAGAACCAAGUCUGGGCGCCCUUCCUGCCCCUGGGGUCCUCCUCGCUCUCGGGAGGCCCCUCCAGCUUCCGUGGCUGGGCCGGGCUGUUGGUGGACCCAGCAGCAGAAGGAGGGCAGUAAGUCGUAGCCGAGGGAUGGGGCAGCCAGAACGGGUGAGGCUGCAGUGAGCAGAGACCUGGCCGUAGCCAGGAAGGAGUCCAGGGUCUGCAGGGGAUGAGUUGCGAAGCUCAGCCCUGGGCUGCGUGUGGGAGGAGCUGGCGUCCAGGUCCUGGUGAUGCUGAGCUGGGCGGGGCCCCCCUUGCACCUGGAUUUGAUAUGAGUUACAGAGGAUGCCUGGUUCCCUUAUCUACCAACGUGUGCCGUUCAUGCUGUGGGCACGCAUGUGGCUUGCGUCAGCUCUAUUUCUGGCCAUUUCAGUUCUAGUUUUCUCCUACACACAUUGGUGCAAACUGGGGAACAGAAAGACGUUUUCUGCUCUCUAACUCACGUUCCCUACAAAAUGGUGUUUCCUGGGAGUAGCUUCUUGUGGGCGCGUUCUCCAGCAGAGACGGGCUGGCUUAUAAAGUGAGACUCCAGGGACACUGGCUGUGUGGCAAAGAACUUAACCUUGUCUAGGGAGAGGUCUGGCCUUUGCCUUCAGCCCUGGAAGGUAAUCUCCAAACCCUUGGAAGGUCCUGGUCUCUGUUUGCCUGGGGGCUCUGGGUCACACUGACAAAGUGAUUUAAGGUGGGGCUCAGGGUCACGUGGUAUCAACUCAACCUCUAGAGGAGCUGGAGACCGAGGUCAGCCUCCUGGGCACCAAACGGGCCUCCUUGGUGAACCCCAAUAAAGGCUCUGGACACCAAGACUCGGGGACCUUCCUGCCUGGCAAUGCUCCGUGGGUGUCGUCACACAUGGAUGCCAGGGAUGCGAUGCUGUCCUGACUCCAUGGAGGGAGCAAAACAGAAUCCCUGCAUGUUGUAUUUUCCUGGGCUCUUCGGUUGACUUUACUCCACGUCUUUUCACUGUAAUAAACCAUAACUGUGAACAUAGCAGAUUUCCUGAGCUCUGUGAGUCCUGCUAGCAAAUUGCCAAACCUGGGGGUGGUUUUGGGGACUCUCGAACCUGCACCUGGUGUCAGAAGCGAGGGUGGCCUGUGCAUGGUUUCCUGACUUCACACGGGCACCGUAGGGUGUUCCCUCGGUCUCUGCACCCCCUCACUACUCCUGGCCAACAGUAGCUCUCCAGCUCAUCUCCCUGUUUCCUCUCACCCAGUUUGUUCUCUCGCUGCAGCCAGCGUGAGCUUUUAAAACCGCU
rnacentral:lncRNA from 1 species